AUUUAUUUAGUAUACAAAGUACAUUUAACUUCCAAUUAAAAAGCUUGAUUUAAUCAAAAUAAAUA
rnacentral:tRNA from 1 species